UACAGAGGGUGCGAGCGUUAAUCGGAAUUACUGGGCGUAAAGGGUGCGUAGGUGGUUAGAUUAGUUGGAUGUGAAAUACUCGGGCUUAACCUGGGAACUGCAUUCAAUACUGUUUAGCUAGAGUUUUGUAGAGGGAGGUGGAAUUUCCGGUGUAGCGGUGAAAUGCGUAGAUAUCGGAAGGAACACCAGUGGCGAAGGCGACCUCCUGGACAAAUACUGACACUGAGGCACGAAAGCAUGGGGAG
rnacentral:rRNA from 1 species